UUGAGCCGAAUGAUGAAAAAUCAUCAUGUCCGGUUCCUUUGGGGGAUGGGUCUAGAAAAAUUCACCUAUCCUAAU
rfam:Gossypium hirsutum cultivar TM-1 chromosome 10, whole genome shotgun sequence